UGAACGCUGGCGGUAGGCCUAACACAUGCAAGUCGAACGGCAGCACAGUAAGAGCUUGCUCUUACGGGUGGCGAGUGGCGGACUGGUGAGGAAUACAUCGGAAUCUACUUUUUCGUGGGGGAUAACGUAGGGAAACUUACGCUAAUACCGCAUACGACCUACGGGUGAAAGCAGGGGACCUUCGGACCUUGCGCGAUUGAAUGAGCCGAUGUCGGAUUAGCUAGUUGGCGGGGUAAAGGCCCACCAAGGCGACGAUCCGUAGCUGGUCUGAGAGGAUGAUCAGCCACACUGGAACUGAGACACGGUCCAGACUCCUACGGGAGGCAGCAGUGGGGAAUAUUGGACAAUGGGCGCAAGCCUGAUCCAGCCAUACCGCGUGGGUGAAGAAGGCCUUCGGGUUGUAAAGCCCUUUUGUUGGGAAAGAAAAGCAGCAGGUUAAUACCCCGCUGUUCUGACGGUACCCAAAGAAUAAGCACCGGCUAACUUCGUG
rnacentral:rRNA from 1 species